rnacentral:rRNA from 1 species
CAGCAGCCGCGGUAAUACGUAGGUGGCAAGCGUUGUCCGGAAUUAUUGGGCGUAAAGGGCUCGCAGGCGGUUUCUUAAGUCUGAUGUGAAAGCCCCCGGCUCAACCGGGGAGGGUCAUUGGAAGCUGGGAAACUUGAGUGCAGAAGAGGAGAGUGGAAUUCCACGUGUAGCGGUGAAAUGCGUAGAGAUGUGGAGGAACACCAGUGGCGAAGGCGACUCUCUGGUCUGUAACUGACGCUGAGGAGCGAAAGCGUGGGGAGCGAACAGGAUUAGAUACCCGCGUAGUCCCUGUCUCUUAUAC